rnacentral:rRNA from 1 species
AUUGAACGCUGGCGGCAUGCCUUACACAUGCAAGUCGAACGGCAGCACGGGGGCAACCCUGGUGGCGAGUGGCGAACGGGUGAGUAAUGCAUCGGAACGUGUCCUCUUGUGGGGGAUAACCAGUCGAAAGAUUGGCUAAUACCGCAUGAGAUCGCAAGAUGAAAGCGGGGGACCGCAAGGCCUCGCGCGAGAGGAGCGGCCGAUGCCGGAUUAGCUAGUUGGUGGGGUAAAAGCCUGCCAAGGCGACAAUCCGUAGCUGGUCUGAGAGGACGACCAGCCACACUGGGACUGAGACACGGCCCAGACUCCUACGGGAGGCAGCAGUGGGGAAUUUUGGACAAUGGGCGCAAGCCUGAUCCAGCCAUGCCGCGUGUGUGAAGAAGGCCUUCGGGUUGUAAAGCACUUUCGGACGGAACGAAAUCGCGCGGACGAACAUUCCGCGUGGAUGACGGUACCGUAAGAAGAAGCACCGGCUAACUACGUGCCAGCAGCCGCGGUAA